rnacentral:rRNA from 1 species
UGCCUUAGUAACGGCGAAGUGAAGCGGCAACAGCUCAAAUUUGAAAUCUGGCGCAAGCCCGAGUUGUAAUUUGUAGAGGAUGCUUCUGGGCAGCGGCUGGUCUAAGUUCCUUGGAACAGGACGUCAUAGAGGGUGAGAAUCCCGUAUGCGACCAGCUGGCACCCGUCACGUAGCUCCUUCGACGAGUCGAGUUGUUUGGGAAUGCAGCUCUAAAUGGGAGGUAAAUUUCUUCUAAAGCUAAAUACCGGCCAGAGACCGAUAGCGCACAAGUAGAGUGAUCGAAAGAUGAAAAGCACUUUGGAAAGAGAGUUAAAAAGCACGUGAAAUUGUUGAAAGGGAAGCGCAUGCAACCAGACUUGUCGGUGGUGUUCCGCCGGUCUUCUGACCGGUCUACUCGCCGCCGACAGGCCAGCAUCGUUUGGGAUCGCCGGAUAAAGGCCCUGGAAAUGUAGCUCCUCGGAGUGUUAUAGUCCUAGGCACAAUACGGCGCAUCCCGAGCGAGGUCCCGCGCUUUCGGCUAGGAUGCUGGCGUAAAUGGUCGUAUGCGGCCCGUCUUGAAAACACGGACCAAGGAGUCUACCAUCUAUGCAA